GACGAACGCUGGCGGCGUGCCUAAUACAUGCAAGUUGAGCGCUGAAGGUUGGUACUUGUCCCGACUGGAUGAGCAGCGAACGGGUGAGUAACGCGUGGGGAAUCUGCCUUUGAGCGGGGGACAACAUUUGGAAACGAAUGCUAAUACCGCAUAAAAACUUUAAACACAAGUUUUAAGUUUGAAAGAUGCAAUUGCAUCACUCAAAGAUGAUCCCGCGUUGUAUUAGCUAGUUGGUGAGGUAAAGGCUCACCAAGGCGAUGAUGCAUAGCCGACCUGAGAGGGUGAUCGGCCACAUUGGGACUGAGACACGGCCCAAACUCCUACGGGAGGCAGCAGUAGGGAAUCUUCGGCAAUGGACGAAAGUCUGACCGAGCAACGCCGCGUGAGUGAAGAAGGUUUUCGGAUCGUAAAACUCUGUUGGUAGAGAAGAACGUUGGUGAGAGUGGAAAGCUCAUCAAGUGACGGUAACUACCCAGAAAGGGACGGCUAACUACGUG
rnacentral:rRNA from 1 species